rnacentral:hammerhead_ribozyme from 1 species
ACCUUGCUGACGAGUGCCAGGUAGCACGAAACCCGGGUCCAGCGU